rnacentral:rRNA from 1 species
GACAGAGGUGCCAAGCGUUAGGCGGAAUCACUGGGCUUAAAGCGUGUGUAGGCGGAAUGGUAAGUACCUUGUGAAAUCCCACGGCUCAACCGUGGAACUGCUUGGUAUACUGCUUUUCUUGAGCCACUUAGGGGCAACCGGAACAAACGGUGGAGCGGUGAAAUGCGUAGAUAUCGUUUGGAACGCCAAUGGUGAAAACAGGUUGCUGGGAGUGUGCUGACGCUGAGACACGAAGCCAGGGGAGCAAACGGG